rnacentral:rRNA from 1 species
AGUGAACGCUGGCGGUAGGCCUAACACAUGCAAGUCGAACGGCAGCACAGUAAGAGCUUGCUCUUACGGGUGGCGAGUGGCGGACGGGUGAGGAAUACAUCGGAAUCUACUUUUUCGUGGGGGGUAACGUAGGGAAACUUACGCUAAUACCGCAUACGACCUACGGGUGAAAGCAGGGGACCUUCGGGCCUUGCGCGCUUGAAUGAGCCGAUGUCGGAUUAGCUAGUUGGCGGGGUAAAGGCCCACCAAGGCGACGAUCCGUAGCUGGUCUGAGAGGAUGAUCAGCCACACUGGAACUGAGACACGGUCCAGACUCCUACGGGAGGCAGCAGUGGGGAAUAUUGGACAAUGGGCGCAAGCCUGAUCCAGCCAUACCGCGUGGGUGAAGAAGGCCUUCGGGUUGUAAAGCCCUUUUGUUGGGAAAGAAAUCCAGCCGGCUAAUACCUGGUUGGGAUGACGGUACCCAAAGAAUAAGCACCGGCUAACUUCGUGCCAGCAGCCGCGGUAAAAC